rnacentral:pre_miRNA from 1 species
AAAGUACUCCCUCCAUCCCAAAAUUCUUGUCUUAGAUUUGUCUAGAUACAAAUGUAUCAAGUCACAUUUUAGUAUUAGAUACAUCCAUAUCUAGACAAAUCUAAGACAAGAAAUUUGGGACAGAGGGAGUAGUUG